GUGCUCGUAGCUCAAAUGGAUAGAGCAUCGGACUCCGGAUCCGAGUGUGCGGGUUCGAGUCCCGCCGAGCACGCCA
rnacentral:tRNA from 1 species